CCCUUUUUCCCCUUCGCAUCCUCCAGCGGCGCCAUAUGAUCCACCAGCAAGGGAGGACGCCAAUGAAAGACCAAGCUGGUCUCGAGUUCACCAAGUGCUGGGAUUAAAGUUGAGAUGUGAUCUGUCAGAUUGACUGGCCACCUGUUGCCGUAGCUUCCUCACCGUUAUGGGCAUCUAGCCCUCUGGAACUGCUGGCCAAAACUAACUCUUCUGUAAGUUGCUUUUGGUCUUGGUAUUUAUCACAGAAAGAAAAGGUAACUAAUAUACAUGCUUAACCCCUGGAUUUAAUCCUCAGUCACUCACACACACACAGGGGCGAGGGAUCCCCAGAAAUGAGCCACAAGAGAAGGACACUUUGGGCAGAAGUGGAGCUGGAAUUGUAGCUCAGUGGCCUAGUGCACAUGAAAUCCUGGGUCUGGUGCACAGCACCAGUAUAAACUGGGUGUGGUGGUGCAAAUAUGUGAAACCAGUACUAGGGAGGAUAGAAGUUCAAGGUUAUCCUUUGCCACAUAGAGAGUCUAAGUCCUGGGCUGGAGAUGUUGUCUCACUACCAGCAACAGCAAAAAGGAACAGGUAGUAGAAAACUUACUGAUGUUAAAGGGUUUUACUUUUGUUUUUAUUUUUUAUAUAUAUUUAUUUAUCUUUAGAAGGGGAUGUGUAUGUUACUCUAUGUGUGGAAGUCACAGGACAAUUUAUUGAUGCCCAGUCUCUCCUCCUACCAUGUGGUCCUGCAAAUCAAACUCAAAUUAUUGGGCUUUGGUGGCUACUGUUUGGCUGGAACUUCCAGCUCUCUCCUGCUUGAUCCAGAAAGCCCCAUUCCUUAAUCUCUCUCUCUCUCUCUCUCUCUCUCUCUCUCUCUCUCUCUCUCUCUCUCUCUCCCCAACCCCACCCUCUCAGAGAAUGUCCAACAAAGAAAAGGGACCAAAAAGCUGAGUUCCGCAUUUUUGGCAGCUGCUACAGCUCCUUGCCUGAAGUUGCCAGUCACCCAAGAUCCCACCUAAAGCUGUCAGCUUUUGACUAUAUUUGGGCACAUACCCAUCUUGUGGAGGACUCAUCAUCAACCCUUUACUACAGGGUCUAUAACUUCCAUGCUUUAAUUCAGGUUCAUGGCUUCUCCUGCCUCUUCUCCUUCCUCCAUCUCUGGAGUUGGAGAACUCACCAUGGAGUUGCUUUGCUCAAAUAAACCUGUUCUUUUACUUUUUCAGCUCAGCUUGAUCUGCUUACUGCAUAGGCAGAAAAACCUAUUAUUAUUAUUAUUAUUAUUAUUAUUAUUAUUAUUAUUAUU
rnacentral:lncRNA from 1 species